rnacentral:rRNA from 1 species
UCGGGAAUUUUGCGCAAUGGACGAAAGUCUGACGCAGCAACGCCGCGUGAGGGAUGACGGCCUUCGGUUGUAAACCUCUUUGUCAGGGACGAUGAUGACGGUACCUGGCGAAUAAGCCACGGCUAACUACGUGCCAGCAGCCGCGGUAAUACGUAGGUGGCAAGCGUUGUCCGGAUUUACUGGGCGUAAAGAGCGCGCAGGCGGUCGUUCAAGUCGCGUGUGAAAGCCCCCGGCUCAACUGGGGAGGGUCACGCGAUACUGAUCGACUCGAAGGCAGGAGAGGGUAGUGGAAUUCCCGGUGUAGUGGUGAAAUGCGUAGAUAUCGGGAGGAACACCAGUGGCGAAGGCGACUACCUGGCCUGUUCUUGACGCUGAGGCGCGAAAGCUAGGGGAGCAAACGGGAUUAGAUACCCCGGUAGUCCUAGCCGUAAACGAUGGACACUAGGUGUUGGUGGGUAUCGAACCCCGCCAGUGCCGAAGCUAACGCAUUAAGUGUCCCGCCUGGGGA